rnacentral:rRNA from 1 species
UACGGAGGAUGCGAGCGUUAUCCGGAUUUAUUGGGUUUAAAGGGUGCGCAGGCGGCACGGCAAGCCGGCGGUCAAAUCGCGGGGCUCAACCCCGCCCAGCCGUCGGAACUGCCGGGCUAGAGUGGGAGAGAAGUGCGCGGAAUGCGUGGUGUAGCGGUGAAAUGCAUAGAUAUCACGCAGAACUCCGAUUGCGAAGGCAGCGCACCGGCGCCCUACUGACGCUCAGGCACGAAAGCGUGGGUAUCGAACAGG